rnacentral:rRNA from 1 species
GAUGAACGCUGGCGGCGUGCCUAAUACAUGCAAGUCGAGCGAACGGACGAGAAGCUUGCUUCUCUGAUGUUAGCGGCGGACGGGUGAGUAACACGUGGAUAACCUACCUAUAAGACUGGGAUAACUUCGGGAAACCGGAGCUAAUACCGGAUGAUAUUUUGAACCGCAUGGUUCAAAAGUGAAAGACGGUCUUGCUGUCACUUAUAGAUGGAUCCGCGCUGCAUUAGCUAGUUGGUAAGGUAACGGCUUACCAAGGCAACGAUGCAUAGCCGACCUGAGAGGGUGAUCGGCCACACUGGAACUGAGACACGGUCCAGACCCCUACGGGAGGCAGCAGUAGGGAAUCUUCCGCAAUGGGCGAAAGCCUGACGGAGCAACGCCGCGUGAGUGAUGAAGGUCUUCGGAUCGUAAAACUCUGUUAUUAGGGAAGAACAUAUGUGUAAGCAACUGUGCACAUCUUGACGGUACCUAAUCAGAAAGCCACGGCUAACUACGUG